rnacentral:lncRNA from 1 species
CUAGAUGAGGUCAGUUGGUGCGAGUAUAGGAAUUUUGUUGUUGUUACCCUUGCCGGAGUGAAGAGAGCUGUAAGAAAAAAGGCCACAAGUAAAAGGAGAAGCUGUUUCGUGAACCCGACUUGGUGUCCGUGUUGUUCCUGUCUCCGUUGGAGUGGAGAUGACCUGCGACAAGUGGUGGCCCGUACGGGGAACUCAUCAUGUCGGUCGGCAACGAGUGAAGAGAGCUGUAAGGAAAAAGGCCACAAGUAAAAGGAGAAGCUGUUUCGUGAACCUGACUUGGUGUCCGUGUUGUUCCUGUCUCCGCCAGAGCGGAGAUGGCCUGCGACAAGAAAGCAUCAAAUUCUUACUGACCUUCGUUGCAGUGCAGAAGUAGAAGAUGAGGUGGAACAUGAGAUGGCUUUCUGAGGACACCUUUUCUUAGGUUAAAAGCAAGCCAGGACAUUUAAAAUUAAGGCUUUGAAUACUACAUUGGUGAGAAGAGAAGAGAAGAGAAGAGAAGAGAAGAGAAGAGAAGAGAAGAGAAGAGAAGAGAAGAGAAGAGACACUGCGCACAUUGUCUUAUUCCAGAGUGUGGAGGAGUGCUUUGUUUUCCCAUAGUGCUUCUGUUGGUCACAUUUAGCUGUGCAGC